rnacentral:rRNA from 1 species
CAUUGUCGAAAUCGAACGGAAGGAAGACCUGCGAACAGUCAUUGCGUACUAGAGAGGGCUCGUGGGCGCGCGACGCUCCCUGGGCUCGCGUCGCGUCGGCGUGGACGUACUCGAGGCCCACGUCGUACCGACGGAAAAACAACGCCAGCACGGAUCGUGCCAAGGACAUGCACGGAGAGAAUCGUCGUCCCACGUCUUCGGUCGCCCUCGAUGCGGGACGGUAGGUGCGGGAUGCGAGCGAUCUCUGAUCAAAUUCUAAAUGACUCUCGGCAACGGAUAUCUCGGCUCUUGCAUCGAUGAAGAACGUAGCGAAAUGCGAUACUUGGUGUGAAUUGCAGAAUCCCGCGAACCAUCAAUUCUUUGAACGCAAGUUGCGCCCGAAGCCAUUCGGCCGAGGGCACGCCUGCCUGGGUGUCGUGAAUUCCCUUGCCCCUGGGCACCCGUGUCCAUGCAUUUGCAUGGGCGGGGAAAUGCUCGGGCGCAGAACGUGGUCUCCCGUUCGGCACGCGCGGCGUUUCGAGGCGCGCGCUGCGUGUUGAGGAGCGGCUGGCCGAAAUCGAGCAUGGAGGUGACGGGCACCACGCCGUUCGGCACGCGUCGUGGUCUCGGCACGCGUCUCGCUCCGGGCUUUUACGAUCCCUAAGUACGA